UACGUAGGGUGCGAGCGUUGUCCGGAAUUACUGGGCGUAAAGAGCUCGUAGGCGGUUUGUCGCGUCUGCUGUGAAAACUCGGGGCUUAACUCCGGGCCUGCAGUGGGUACGGGCAGACUAGAGUGCAGAAGGGGCAACUGGAAUUCCUGGUGUAGCGGUGAAAUGCGCAGAUAUCAGGAGGAACACCGGUGGCGAAGGCGGGUCUCUGGGCCGAUACUGACGCUGAGGAGCGAAAGCGUGGGGAGCGAACAGG
rnacentral:rRNA from 1 species